UACAUGGUUUGUGAGUUCCAUCAUUGUAGAGAAUUGCAAAGAAGUUUUGUAAGUAAAGGGAAAGAGAUCCAUAUAAUCAAAGAAACCACUUUUUUUUUAAUAAGAUGAAUGAAUGCACCUCUUCAAGUUCUACAGAAUUAUUAAAUGAAGGAAUCUGCUUCAGAAUUACUGACUGCAUGUCGCUGCAACAUCUGUGCUACAAAGUUUGAUUGUUU